rnacentral:rRNA from 1 species
GAGUUUGAUGAUGGCUCUGAGUGAACGCUAUCCAAAUGCUUGACACAUGCUAAUCGAACGACAUUGUACCUUGAGUGCAGUGUAGUGGUGUACAGGUGAGUACAGGGUAAUAUGACCACCUUGGAGUGAGGAGAAAGAUCCCUUAUAAUUUUGCGUUUGCAAAAGAAAGAAGCCAUAGCUUUGCUCUUAGAAGUCUAUAUCUCGUGUAUGGUAGUAGUUAAGUUUCAAUUAACAUAACUAGCUAUAUAUACGUAGUCGUAACUGGAAGGUUGAUCGACCACAGUGGGCCUGAACAAAGCCCACGAUGAUUAUUACAGCAGUGAGGAAUAUUGGUCAAUAGCCUAACGGCUGAACCAGCAACUUGGAGGAAUGUAUAGCUACGGCUAAUUGUGUAUAUCUACACGAUAUCGACUCUGUCGAAUAAAAUUCUGGGUAAAUUAUGAUGAUGACAUUUUUUACCUAUGUGUCUUGACCAAAUUGUGUGCCAGCAGUCGCGGUAAUACAUAGAAGACUAGUGUUAUUCAUCUUUAAUAGGUUUAAAGGGUACCUAGACGGUAGAUCAAGCCCUAGACGGGACUAAUUUGCUAGAGUUACUUAUGAGGGGGCUUUAAAGUACUAAUGGUGUAGAGAUAAAAUUUUGUAAUACCAUUUUUCGUAAAGAAAAAUUAUGGCACUGGUAAAGGUGAAAGCAUCCCCCUAUGUGAUAACUGACGUUGAAGGACGAAGGCUUUGGGUCGCGAAUAGGAUUAGAUACCCUAGUAGUCAAAGCAGAAAAUUAUGAGUGUCAUAGAUUAGAUAAUACAGUUUAUUCUAUAAAUGAAAGUGUAAGCACUCCACCUCAAGAGUAAUUUGGCAACAUUGGAACUGAAAUCAUUAGACCGUUUCUGAAACCAGUAGUGAAGUAUGUUGUUUAAUUCGAUGAUCCGCGAAAAACCUUACCACAAUUUGAAUAUGUAUACUUUUGAUAUAUUUACAAGCGUUGCACGGCUGUCUUCAGUUAAUGUCGUGAGACUUUGGUUAGAUCCAUUAAAUUAACGUAAGCCCUUACUUUAUUUUCAUAUAAAGUAGUUCUCCACCAUAUUGGACAAGAUAACAGGGACUAAGACAAGUCAUCAUGGCCUGAAUAUUGUGGGCUAUAGACGUGCCACAUAAACCUCUACAAAGGGAUGUGAAAUUGCGAAAUUAAACUAAUCCCCCAAAACUGGAUAUAAUAUCAAUGGAUUGUAGUCUGUAACUCGACUGCGUGAAAAAGGAAUUACUAGUAAUCGUGUAUAAGUACGGCACGGUGAAUUUUAUCUCAGAUAGGUACUAACUACUCGUCAGGCGCUGAAAGAAGUAUGUGCAAUAAGUUUGGCUAGUGCUUAUUUUUAAUUUAGACGAUUUGGUCUAAAAACUUAGGUAUGUUGUUUUCGUAUGCGUGACUUUGAUUGGUGUUAAGUCGAAAUACGGUUCGUGUAGUGGAAAUUGC